rnacentral:rRNA from 1 species
GGGGAUAACGUUUGGAAACGAACGCUAAUACCGCAUGAUAUUAUCUUAUCGCAUGAUAGGAUGAUCAAAGGAGUGAUCCGCUGAAAGAUGGGCUCGCGUCCGAUUAGGUAGUUGGUGAGGUAACGGCCCACCAAGCCGACGAUCGGUAGCCGGACUGAGAGGUUGGACGGCCACAUUGGGACUGAGACACGGCCCAGACUCCUACGGGAGGCAGCAGUAAGGGAUAUUGGUCAAUGGGGGAAACCUUGAACCAGCAACGCCGCGUGAGGGAAGACGGUUUUCGGAUUGUAAACCUCUGUCCUCUGUGAAGAUGAUGACGGUAGCAGAGGAGGAAGCUCCGGCUAACUACGUGCCAGCAGCCGCGGUAAUACGUAGGGAGCGAGCGUUGUCCGGAUUUACUGGGUGUAAAGGGUGCGUAGGCGGCUAUGCAAGUCAGUAGUGAAAUCCAUGGGCUUAACCCAUGAACUGCUAUUGAAACUGCACAGCUUGAGUGAAGUAGAGGUAGGCGGAAUUCCCGGUGUAGCGGUGAAAUGCGUAGAGAUCGGGAGGAACACCAGUGGCGAAGGCGGCCUACUGGGCUUUAACUGACGCUGAGGCACGAAAGCGUGGGUAGCAAACAGGAUUAGAUACCCUGGUAGUCCACGCUGUAAACGAUGAUUACUAGGUGUGGGGGGACUGAACCCUUCCGUGCCGGAG